rnacentral:rRNA from 1 species
GAUGAACGCUGGCGGCGUGCUUAACACAUGCAAGUCGAACGGAAAGGCCCUGCUUGCAGGGUACUCGAGUGGCGAACGGGUGAGUAACACGUGGGUGAUCUGCCCUGCACUUCGGGAUAAGCCUGGGAAACUGGGUCUAAUACCGGAUAGGAGCCAUUUUGAGUGUGAUGGUUGGAUAGUGUUUUAGGUGUAGGAUGAGCUUGCGGCCUAUCUGCUUGUUGGUGGGGUAAUGGCGUACCAACGCGGCGGCGGGUAGCCGGCCUGAGGGGGUGGACCGCCACCCUGGGGCUGACGUGCGGCCCCGGCUGCUACGGGUGGCAACUGGGGGGAAUCCUGCACCAUGGGCGCCAGCCUGGUGCAGCGACGCCUCGUGGGGGAUGACGGUCUUCGGGUUGUAGAAUACUUUCGCUAGGGACGAAGCAUUUUGUGACGGUACCUAGAUAAGAAGCACCGGCUAACUACGUG